rnacentral:rRNA from 1 species
AGAGUUUGAUCCUGGCUCAGAUUAGAGUUUGANUNCCUGCUCAGAACGAACGCUGGCGGCAGGCUUAACACAUGCAAGUCGAACGAGAAACUAUCUUCGGAUAGUGGACAGUGGCAGACGGGUGAGUAACGCGUAGCAACCUACCUAGUAGUACGGAAUAGCCCUUGGAAACGAGGAAUAAUACCGUAUACGCCCUUCGGGGGAAAGAUUUAUCGCUAUUAGAUGGGGCUGCGUUGGAUUAGCUAGUUGGUGAGGUAAUGGCUCACCAAGGCAACGAUCUAUAGCGGGUCUGAGAGGAUGAUCCGCCACACUGGGACUGAGACACGGCCCAGACUCCUACGGGAGGCAGCAGUGGGGAAUCUUGGACAAUGGGGGAAACCCUGAUCCAGCCAUGCCGCGUGAAUGAUGAAGGCCUUAGGGUUGUAAAAUUCUUUCGAUGGUGAAGAUAAUGACGGUAACCAUUAAAGAAGCCCCGGCUAACUCCGUGCCAGCAGCCGCGGUAAUACGGAGGGGGCUAGCGUUGUUCGGAAUUACUGGGCGUAAAGCGUCCGCAGGCGGAUUAUUAAGUUAGAGGUGAAAUCCCAGGGCUCAACCCUGGAACUGCCUUUAAUACUGGUAAUCUAGAGUUAUGGAGAGGUAAGUGGAAUUCCUAGUGUAGAGGUGAAAUUCGUAGAUAUUACUAGGAAUACCAAAAGCGAAGGCGAUCUUCUGGAACAGUACUGACGCUGAGAUGCGAAAGCGUGGGGAGCAAACAGGAUUAGAUACCCUGGUAGUCCACGCAGUAAACGAUGAAUGUUAGUCGUUGGUAUCCUAGAGAUAUCAGUGAUGCAGUUAACACAUUAAACAUUCCGCCUGGGGAGUACGGUCGCAAGAUUAAAACUCAAAGGAAUAGACGGGGGCCCGCACAAGCGGU